CAUCCCGAUAAUUACCUUCCUCGUUGUACCGCUACAUGCAUAUUUAAACAAGUCCCAAAAAUUCUCUAAACAGACCCAAAAUUCUUCGAUUCCCCGAAUCUUCCCCGUUUCUCGAAAUUUCUCAACCGCCUGUAAAAAAAAACCUUUCGACAGUCCAGCAGAGCUUUGUGUUCCUCGAGCAUAGAAUCGCUCAAAGUGCCGCUCGACUAUUCGGCACUCGCGAAAGCCUCGCAAAUUGAUCACUCGGCAGUUUGGCACGCGUUCGCUAACGAAUCAUCAAAGAACUCGUGACCAAACGGCCCAUCAAGAUCUUCAUGAAAAAACACAGCUGGACCGUCGAAAAGUUCGGAGGAUUCGUCGCGCGGUGACUUUGACGCUAAUUAAAAAGUAAAAUGUCCCUCGUGAAAUUUGCAUGGGAAUUCGCGCUCGAGUUAAGGAGAAAAGGAGAGGGAGGAGAGAAAGAAGAAGAAAAAAUCUUAAAAGGAACCCCACCCAUACAGACUGGCAUUAAGAAAAUAAAGAACCAGCUCCCUUCUUAGACUCCGUGCUCGACGCUCUUCCCGACUCCUGCACGUACGUAGAGUCGCGUAGCACUUAAAAGGCACUGGAGGAGCACGAAGCUGGUAAAAAGCCUGAACGACGCUGGCCUCCCGAUGGCUAUUGAACUCUUGUGCAACCUGCAUAAAAAGCUACGUGUCAGUGAGUGAACCCGGCAUUUCCAUUGCCGGUUAACCAUUGGUCCACGCUGGUACACCGGGUUCAAGUUCACCUCGGACUUCGUCUCGAAGAUCCUUUACUGUAAAAUUACGAGAAUCUUCAGAAUUUACUCGAGUCAACGUGCAUGUAUAUCUAUGGACGUUUCACGUUUCUAUGACUCUGCCUGCAGUCGUGUACGCGACUUGUCCGCACUGCAGCGACAUUGACCGCUCGAUUACGCGGAAACCAGCCUGACGCUUGACACUUGCAUAGAAAUACACUGAGUGGCUACCCGGUAGAAUGGGGUAUUUUGAAAAAAGGGAAAAAAUGAAAAAUUCUCCAAGCAAACGUUAAACUGUACAUAUGAAGUUAUUUCGAUGAACUUCUAAUGUCCUAACGAUCGUUCUCAGUCCCUUGACAUUCUAACGUUGCUCAAUAGUUUUUUCCUUCUGCCUCGACUGGACGCUAAUAAAACUUUCGCACCGUUAGAAACCAGACAACGUGGUAACAAGGAUGUAUCGAAUGUCGUUGAUUACGAACGGUAUUAAUUAAAUAAAUUAAUUGUAACUAAUAAUAAUAAUAAUGGCAAUGAAAAUUCAAGGUUUACUACUCUCGUCGGAAAUUUAUUUCAUCACAGGUAUUCCUCUUUCGCCGAUCUGUCACUUCGUGCGACUGUCAAUUAUUUUUGAAAAAAAAAAAAAAAAAA